UGCUUAACACAUGCAAGUCGAACGGUAACAUUUCUAGCUUGCUAGAAGAUGACGAGUGGCGGACGGGUGAGGAACGCGUAAGAAUCUGCCUUAUAGAGGGGGACAACCUUGGGAAACUAAGGCUAAUACCGCAUAAGCCCGAGAGGGGAAAUGCCGAAAGGCGCUAUAAGAUGAGCUUGCGUCAGAUUAGCUAGUUGGUGGGGUAAAGACCUACCAAGGCGAAGAUCUGUAGCUGUUCUGAGAGGAAGAUCAGCCACACUGGAACUGAGACACGGUCCAGACUCCUACGGGAGGCAGCAGUGGGGAAUAUUGGACAAUGGGCGAAGCCUGAUCCAGCAAUGCCGCGUGUGUGAAGAAGGCCUUCAGGUUGUAAAGCAC
rnacentral:rRNA from 1 species